rnacentral:lncRNA from 1 species
UGGUGCAUAUUUCAAUGUAUGAGAUGUAUUUUUUCUAAAAUUUUUUGGGGCAGAGAAAAAUUAAAAAAGGAAGGAAGUCUCGCACAUGCGCGUGAAAGUAUCACAUCUCUUUGAGAUUUAGAGAGUCUUUCUCCUCAUCAAAUACUUUUAAAAUGGAACAAUUUUUGGUGAUAACAUUACGCAUUUGACAUGCUAUUUUUGGUAAUUUUUUUGAAAUUUUUCCAGAUUUAUCUGGGUGCCUAAUGGAUGCCAUAAGUUCCUCCUCAUGCCUGCACAUGUGGUGAUCAAACUUUGUGUGAAAAGAUGUGAGAACACAUCCAUUUAUGAGAAUUUUUAUCUAUUCAUUCUAUGUUUUGGAAUUAAGAUUGAAUCCUCUAUCUGUGUGAAGUUUUGAGGAUUUUUCUAAUUUGAGAAGGGAUGAGAAAACAUCCCUUCUCUGGUCGCACGUGUAGAGUAGGGUGUUGAUUGACAUAUC